UUGGAAUUACCCCCCCAUGUCUUCAGAUAGUGAGACAUCACAUGACCUUCAAAGGCUAAGAGCAGAAUAUGAAUCUGUAAGACAAAGACUAAGAGAAAUGAAACAAAGAUGACGCCAAAUGGCACAGUACCAAGCAUCUGGCUGUGCAGAGGAGAGAGGAGGAGGAGGACCCAGUAGUGAAGUAUUCCCUGCAACAAACAGAACAAGAGGCUGGUGUGAGUUCCCUGGCUGAGGAAGAUGUGGGCCAAACUGAGGACGAUUGUGGGCCAACUACCCAAACGCAAGACUCAGGCCCACACAGUGAAGAGGAAGGUGGAACUAGCUCUCAGGCUACUGCAUCGCAGGCAACAUAAAAAAAGAGAAGAUGCCAACCACCAUUUACCAAGAGAGAGUUGGGUAUUCUCAUCCCACAAGCUAUUGAGAAAAUAAAUUUUGGCAAUAAGAACAUGGGCGCUGGGACCAAGGACCGUAUCUGAAGGGAGAUCACAGAUGCAGUUAAUGCGGUGGGACGAAUUGUCCGUACACUCCAAGAAGUCAGGAGACGUUGGGCUGACUUCAAGUCCCGCCUGAAGCAGAAAAAGUCUGCGCAUUGGAAAGCUUUGAGGGCAACAGGGGGAGGGCCACUCCCUGAGACUGUGGAAUUUACUGACCUGGAGGAGCAAACGAUGGCCUGUGUGUCAUAUGAGGAAGUGGCAGGUGUGUCCGAAAUGGACACCCACACACCUGCCCUUGAAUGUCCACAUGCCUUGGAAGCACAGGAGGUGCAGCUCACUGAGUCUGAGGAGUUCCAGUUCCAGUGUGGGGCAGGAAAGGCCAUCAUCUCAGCAACACACUGGCACACUCCCCCAACCCAGUCUCCUGGAGCUUAUGAGCCAAAUUGUCACAGAUGGAAGGAUAAACACUGACUUCCAUAGCCAGAUGCUCCGGGAUGUCCGUGAGCUGUCCUCCACUGUGUGACAAGGCACGUGCAACAUCUCCUCCUCUGUGGCACAAGGAGUGCAUGACAUCUCGACCACUAUUGGGCAAGGCAUGCAAACCAUCGCUGCCCUCCUUGGCCAGAGUCUCAGGAAGGCUACAACACUGGCCUAUCCCCUAGCCCUGCCCAGGAACAAGAUCCCACUGGGCAGGCCCUCGAAGAUCCAUAUACGCAGACCCACCACAGAGCAACAACCCCUUCAGGCGGGUAAAAAAAGGAGAAAACAUUGAUUUCUCUCCAGAUGCAGUCGUUAUUUCCAGCGCCCAUGUCCUGUUUUAAAAAAUUAUUUUUCUCAAUGGUUUGUGGGACCAGAAUGUCAAACCCACUCCUGCUGAAUGGGGUUUGGCGACUUCUCUUUUCUUUCCCUGCCUGUGAUGCAUUAGCCAGUGAACUUGUCCCACCUUCCUCUUCAGUUUGUGGUAUUGAUUGCUGCAUUUGGGUAUUGGGCCCAGAUUCUUCCUCAAUUUGCAACACAUCUUCCUCAGCCAGGGUACUGAGACAAGUCUCUUGUUGUGUUUGUUGCCCAGUAGAUGAGGGAACUUCACUACUGGGUACUGCCAGGUUAUUUUUGCUGUGCCAUUUGGUGUACUGUUUAUUUAGUUUCACUUUGUGUUUGUAUUAUCAAUAUCUAAUAUUGGAUUUAUUAUUCAAAUUAUUUCUACCCCUUACACUUUGUUUUAAAAUUGUGUUUUUCUUAUUGUGGUCCAUCGUAAUGUUUUUUAAUAUAAAUAAAAACAAAAUGGAAUUUUGUAUAUUUGUGGGUAAAAAAUAAAAACAUACUAGGGGGUUAAUUUGGUCAGAUGGGGUUAAUUUGGACAGAUGGGAGUUCUAUUUAAGAUGGAAUGUUUCCCAUAAUAACCAUACAUAUUCCAGGUAUUAUGUUCUAGAAGGUGCAAGAUAAAUGAGAAGUAUAAUAUUUGCAGUUUCUAUGGGCAAUAUCCCAUCUUAAAUAGAACUUCCAUCUGACCAAAUUAACCCCUAUAAAUGUAGUACCUAAAGCAUUAUUACAGAACAUGAUAUAUUAGCGCAGGGCCAUAACUACGUAUGUGCCAGGUGUGCCUGGCACACAGCGCAGUCGCCCUGAGAGCGCAACUGCCCGCAUUCCCUAAAGUCAGCGGCAUUGUAAUGAGUCAAAUUGACUCAUUACAAGCCACCUGUGUGUGCCGGAG